UUUUCAAAAUUUGAUGUGUUUAGGUACUUUGGAAUUCAUGGCACCAGAGCUUUAUGAGGGGGAAUACAAUGAACUUCAGGGUAAUCUCUUCAAAUGACAAUGCAUGGUUAGCAAAUUUAUAAACGGUAAUUGGUAUUUUCUAUAUAUUAACCAAUGAAGGGAAAAAAAUGUAAAAGUGUCAUUUUCCAUUCUUUUACAUUGUGACUCACUAAUCAGAAAACUUGCUUUCAAAUUUCUAAAAUCCCUAACCCUCUUCCUCCAGUUGUUCCCUUUUACCAUUUUUUUUACCUAAUAUAUGAUCAAAUCAGGUCAAACAGUUCUUUUAUUCAACUUUGAAAUUCGUUCUGUUAAAUUUUUCAGUAGAUCAGAUGUAACCCUUUUCCCAAAAUCUUUUGACGUGAAACGGCAGAGAUUCCGUAGCCAUUACUGAAUUAUCAUCAAGAAAAUCUUGCACAUGAUCUUCAAGAGAAGAAAAACUUGCUAUUGCGGACGAAUUUGCCCCUGAUAUCACAAUCAUUUCAGCUGGAUUUGAUGCUGCAAGGGGCGACCCCCUUGGAUGUUGUGAUGUGACCCCUGUUGGUUAUGCACAGAUGACCAAAAUACUGACUUCUUUAUCUAAUGGAAAAUUGCUUGUUAUUCUCGAGGGCGGCUACAAUCUUCGCUUAAUAUCAUCAUCAGUUACACCACUAGUAAAGGUUAAUCUAUAUUCUAUGAUUAAUCAAUCAGGGUUUAGGGUUUAAUGAAAAGCCUGAAAGAAUGUUUCAGAAUGCUGUACCUUCAAGAUCUGGACUGCAGACUGUUCUAGAAGUUUUGAGUAUCCAGAGCACAUCCUCUUAUCUUGUUUAGCCACAUCUCCUAUCUUGUUUAUGUACUAGCGGUUUUGUAUGAAAUUGAUGCGAAAUAUGAGAAGGCUUUUACACUUUAUGCCGAUCUUGUGAAGCCAGGUCUGUUUGAGUUUAUCGAGAAGCAUAACUUGCAGUACUAAGCCAUUCCUGAGAAGGUGGCCCACCUAAUGUCGAUUGAUUAUAAACGUACAGUUUAGUAUGAUGGAAUCAAACAAGGAAUUGAAUGGAAUGAGUCAUUACAUUGUACAGAACAGAGUUAAACAUAUAAA